rnacentral:lncRNA from 1 species
AGUGCUGGCGCAAGUCGUCUUGCGCCAGGCGACUGGGUCUGAGGAGGCAGGAGUUAUUCAUUCCCUUAAGCUUUCAGGCCGGGGGGAGAAUCUUUCAGGUGGUAGCUGCAAGAACUCUUAGUAUGUUGACCUCACCUCUGCCUUCCACAUACCACUACCAGUGAGGAAUUAGGAAUGCAUGAGAAGAGUGUCCAAGAAGAGUGUCCUCAUUCAUGCAAGGCUUAAGAGAGAAUGCAGGUCAACAUCACCAUGUCAAUCAGAGAAUACUUCUGUUGGGUUGAAUGACUCUCUGCCCCCAGGUGCAGAUGCUGAGAGCACUUUCUAGUCAAGUCCUGCAUGUUCAUUUCUGUCUCAAGUCAGCUUCUCUGAGAAUCCAAUUUAUAAAAAUAUAUUUGUGAAUGUAUAAGUAAAGUGACUUGGAUUUUGUCUACGUACAAGGACUUCUAUGCCUGCAUAAAACAGCUUUCAGAGUGACUAACCAUACCAGUUUGACCAAGACUGUAUUGGCUGCAGCACUUAAAAGCUCACAUCCCGGAAAUCCUUUGGUCCUCGGUGAAUUGGGAUGGUUGGUUACCCUAUUACUGAUGAUUGUAAUUCUCAGCGUAGUUUGGAACCAGCAGCAGCAGCAGCUCCCCAGACCUACUGAAUCAGAAUCUACAUUUUGAUAAGAGCCCAGGGUGACUCCAUGUACGUGAAAAAGUUUGAGAAGUCCUUAGACCUACAGUUCACAGCUUCUCCUUCUUUCUUAUUCAACUGAAUUGCAGUGGGACCUGAGUAUGGUUAAAAUAAAUGAAUAAAAACACAAAUCAA